rnacentral:rRNA from 1 species
UGGGGAAUAUUGCACAAUGGGCGCAAGCCUGAUGCAGCCAUGCCGCGUGUGUGAAGAAGGCCUUCGGGUUGUAAAGCACUUUCAGCGGGGAGGAAGGCGUUAAGGUUAAUAACCUUGGCGAUUGACGUUACCCGCAGAAGAAGCACCGGCUAACUCCGUGCCAGCAGCCGCGGUAAUACGGAGGGUGCAAGCGUUAAUCGGAAUUACUGGGCGUAAAGCGCACGCAGGCGGUUUGUUAAGUCAGAUGUGAAAUCCCCGGGCUCAACCUGGGAACUGCAUCUGAUACUGGCAAGCUUGAGUCUCGUAGAGGGGGGUAGAAUUCCAGGUGUAGCGGUGCAAUGCGUAGAGAUCUGGAGGAAUACCGGUGGCGAAGGCGGCCCCCUGGACGAAGACUGACGCUCAGGUGCGAAAGCGUGGGGAGCAAACAGG